UCGAUCUAGGAUUUCACAUUCAUGGACGUUGAUAAGAUCCUUCCAUUUAGUAGCACCUUAGGAUAGCAUAGCCUUAACGUUAAUGGCGAGGUUCAAAAGAGGAAAGGCUUGCGGUGGAUACCUAGGAACCCAGAGACGAGGAAGGGCGUAGCAAGCGACGAAAUGCUUCGGGGAGUUGAAAAUAAGCAUAGAUCCGGAGAUUCCCAAAUAGGUCAGCCUUUUAAACUGCCUGCUGAAUCCAUGAGCAGGCAAGAGACAACUUGGCAAAUUGAAACAUCUUAG
rnacentral:rRNA from 1 species